AAAGGGAGACCUAAUUCAGGUAAGAGACGAAAAAAAAGUAGUCGCUACCAAGAAUCAAUCCCAAAAGGUCGGAGCGAGGCGAAAUUGGCUUUCAAACUAGGUUCUGGGUUCAAACAAGACCUGAAUCAGGAACAAGGGCUAUUAGCUCAGGUGGUUAGAGCGCACCCCUGAUAAGGGUGAGGUCCCUGGUUCGAGUCCAGGAUGGCCCACCUGCACAGGUGGCAAAAACAAGAGAAGCGAGGAAUCAGCACCUUAUCUUACUGACAUAGUAAGAGAGAAUGCUGGCUCUGAGUAAAGAGUCCAGAGGAACCUUGAAAACUGCAUAGAGCUAGGUGAAAAAGCCAAAAAAGAAGACCGCAAG
rnacentral:tRNA from 1 species